rnacentral:lncRNA from 1 species
AUAGAAAGGUUAUCCAACGCAUCGGAACAACAUUCUUAUAUCAUGGGAUAUCAACAUCUUUGUCGACGUUACUUCGUUCCCCGUUUUUUACCUGUCUCUUCCUAAUUUUUACUUUACAUGCUUUAUGCAUUUAUGCAUGCAUGGAUAUUUCAUUGUUAUUCUACUUGUUUGGAUUGGAUUUACUAUUCUUUUUCCGCAGAAUAUUCUAACGAAAAUUGUACAGUUGUACAGUGUCCGGAUAUGUACGA